UACGGAGGAUGCAAGCGUUAUCCGGAAUGAUUGGGCGUAAAGCGUCCGCAGGUGGCAAUGUAAGUCUGCUGUCAAAGCGUCUGGCUCAACCAGAUAAAGGCAGUGGAAACUACAUAGCUAGAGUAAGGUAGGGGUAGAGGGAAUUCCUGGUGUAGCGGUGAAAUGCGUAGAGAUCAGGAGGAACACCUAUUGCGAAGGCAGCUCGCUGGGACGUAACUGACGCUGAGACGCGAAAGCGUGGGGAGCAAACAGG
rnacentral:rRNA from 1 species